CCUGGCUCAGGACGAACGCUGGCGGCGUGCUUAACACAUGCAAGUCGAACGGUGAAGGGACCGGCUUUUGCUGGUUCUGGAUGAGUGGCGAACGGGUGAGUAACACGUGAGUAACCUGCCCCCUUCUUCUGGAUAACCGCAUGAAAGUGUGGCUAAUACGGGAUAUUCUGGGUCUGUCGCAUGGCGGGCCUGGGAAAGAUGCGCCUUUGGGUGUUUUUGGUGGGGGAUGGGCUCGCGGCCUAUCAGCUUGUUGGUGGGGUGAUGGCGUACCAAGGCGGUGACGGGUAGCCGGCCUGAGAGGGUUGACGGUCGCACUGGGUCUGUGACACGGCCCAGACACCGACAG
rnacentral:rRNA from 1 species